AUGGGGCUGAGCACAGCUCAGCUGUUCGCCCUCCACACCGAUCCCACGGCAGAACCAUUCCAUGCCGGAACACAGAGGGACCCACGACUCAGCGCCGGGGUAGGGGCUGCGCUUCGGGUGGGCUCUCGUUGGAACCCAAAGGAACCUCCAUCCCAUUGCCAGGGGACGGGCAGAGCUUCGGGUGGGGGUCGCACCGCGGUCUCCUGCAGAGGUUUGGGGUUUGGCGGUGGGGAGGGGAAUGCAAUGGAUGGGAAUGUCUUUCCCACGGGAGGGAAGGAAAAGUGUCCCCUCCACGGAGCUGACACCGACCCCAAAGCAGACGACGGAUCCCCACCACCCCCAGCAGCAGCUCCACCCCAUAGCAACAGAUCCCCCCCACGAGCACCGGGACGAUGCUCAGCCCUGGGAGCCCGGCUGGCCCCAGUGGCUGUGGGGCACGAUGUGGGGUGCGCUGUAGGGUGAGCGUGGGCUCUUUGGGGUGCCGACCCCCAUAGGGCGUUCCCAGUGUCCAGGCACCGUUCCCAUGGGAAUUCCCACCUGCCCGGCCCCACGUCACCCAUCGGCGCCCCCCACAGUGGGUGGGACGCCCCACAGGUGGCACAGAGCCACGCUGUGUGUGGGGUGUUGUCUUUGUCUGCUCUCUGAUGUCCCUCAGUAUGGGGUGGUGGGCACAGAAGUGGUGGGAAGAGAGGCUCCGUGCACUCCAAAUGGACGGGCAUCGGAUCAGGAUGUCAGACCCCCUCCUCUCCGUGGGAUUCCCAUCAGGAUGUGAAUCCGAGCUGGGGUUCAUCCCUCCUUGGAUGAAACCCCAAAUCAGCCUUGGGGUGAGCGAUCCCAUGGGAGGAGCACUGUGGGAUGGGUUUGGUCAGCACAAACUCAAUGGCACCACAGCACAAAGGGAUCGGAUCCCACCCCCAGCCCCAAAGGCCCCACAUGCAGCACGUGACCCCAGAGAACCCCAACACUGAGGACCCCAAAUGGACCAUCCAGUGCUGGGGGAGCCCCAAGAACCUGAGACCCGGCUCCAGAGAACCCUAAGAACUGGGGACCCCAAAUGGAGUUCCCAGAGCUGGAGAAGCCUUAAGAACCAGAGACCCCAAAUGGAGUAUCUGGGCUUGGAGAACCCCAAGCAUGGAGACCCCAAAUGGAGCAUCCGGUGUUUGAGGAGCCCCAAGAACAGUAGAUCCCAAAUGGAGUUCCCAGAGCUGGAGAUGCCCUAAUAAAACCAGAGACCCCAAAUGAAUCGCCCCAAGCACCAGGGAACCCAAAUGGAGCACCGGUUGUUGGAGAAGCCUCAAGAAUCAGAGACCCCACAUGGAGCACCUGGCCCUGGACAACCCCAAGAACCAGAGACCCCAAAUGGAGCACCCAGUGUAGGAGGAGCCCCAAGAAACAGAGACCCCAAACGGAUUGCCCAGCCCUGGAGAUCCCCAAGCAUGGGGGACCCCACAUGGCCCACCCGGUGCUGCAGGACCCCCACGGGCACCGAGAGAGGAGCACCACCCCAUAGGGCCGUGUGCCCCACAGGUGGGAUUUCGGGGUCGCCCACCCAACCUGGCGGCCAUCGGCCCCACUGACACCGGCGACCUUCGCUCUCCGCUCCCAACUGCGCCACGACGGGGGGAGCUCCGACCAAAACAAGCACAGGAGAUCCUUGGGG
rnacentral:lncRNA from 1 species